rnacentral:rRNA from 1 species
GAUGAACGCUAGCGGCAGGCUUAAUACAUGCAAGUCGUGGGGCAGCAUGAGUAGCAAUACUUGAUGGCGACCGGCAAACGGGUGCGGAACACGUACACAACCUUCCUUCAAGCGGGGAAUAGCCCAGAGAAAUUUGGAUUAAUACCCCAUAACAUAUAAUAGAGGCAUCUCUAAUAUAUUAAAGCUUCGGCACUUGUCGAUGGGUGUGCGUCUGAUUAGGUAGUUGGUGAGGUAACGGCUCACCAAGCCAACGAUCAGUAGCUGAUGUGAGAGAAUGAUCAGCCACACGGGCACUGAGACACGGGCCCGACUCCUACGGGAGGCAGCAGUAAGGAAUAUUGGACAAUGGACGCAAGUCUGAUCCAGCCAUGCCGCGUGAAGGAUUAAGGUCCUCUGGAUUGUAAACUUCUUUUAUAGGGGGCGAAAAAAGGGCAUUCUUGCUCACUUGACGGUACUCUAUGAAUAAGCACCGGCUAACUCCGUGCCAGCAGCCGCCGUAACAC